ensembl:ncRNA lncRNA:roX2 long non-coding RNA on the X 2
AUUCGCGGCCUGGUCACACUAAGCUAGGGCUACUUUUUAUAUCAUAAGUCGAGCGUUUAGACACUGAAAAGACACGUUUGCAAAGUUCGGGGUGUUUAGAAUCCAUCCACUUGGUACAGUUCCCAUCGAGCUGGUGAGUACUCCGCGCAGUGCAACGUAUACACACUUGAACUCGAAUUCUGGCAGCAAAAUGGUGGUGACCUAUUAAUAACACCCGCUCAAUUUUCCCUCGCUUUUCCAUUCAGUCUCCAACUAGCUGCAAGUAGCUCGGAUGGCCAUCGAAAGGGUAAAUUGGUGUUACAUAUAGCUUUAGAGAUCGUUUCGAAUCACAUUGAUAAUCGUUCGAAACGUUCUCCGAAGCAAAAUCAAGCAAGAGUAACGAUUUCCGCAUAGUCGAAAAUGUUUAAGUUGAAUUGUCUUACGGACAGUGAGAUGAGUACGACUAUUUGGAAAUCACAAACGAAUUGUUUUCAUGGUUGACGCGCUUGUCAAGCUACAAAACAAAAUGAAUGAUAUACAAUAUACAAUAUACAAUAUGCAAUACAAUACAAUACAAGACAAAAAAAUGUGUCUUGGAACGCAACAUUGUACAAGUCGCAAUGCAAACUGAAGUCUUAAAAGACGUGUAAAAUGUUGCAAAUUAAGCAAAUAUAUAUGCAUAUAUGGGUAACGUUUUACGCGCCUUAACCAGUC